CCCUGUAGCUCAGUUGGUGGAGCAUGGUGUUUGCAACGCCAGGGUUGUGGGUUCGAUUCCCACAGGGG
rfam:Salmo salar isolate Sally breed double haploid chromosome ssa09, whole genome shotgun sequence.